GUGUCAGCAGCCGCGGUAAUACGGAGGGGGCUAGCGUUGUUCGGAAUUACUGGGCGUAAAGCGCACGUAGGCGGCGAUUUAAGUCAGGGGUGAAAGCCCAGUGCUCAACACUGGAACUGCCCUUGAGACUGGAUUGCUUGAAUCACGGAGAGGUGGGUGGAAUUCCGAGUGUAGAGGUGAAAUUCGUAGAUAUUCGGAAGAACACCAGUGGCGAAGGCGGCCCACUGGACGUGUAUUGACGCUGAGGUGCGAAAGCGUGGGGAGCAAACAGGAUUAGAUACCCCAGUAGUCC
rnacentral:rRNA from 1 species